UCCAGAGGGAAGUAUUUUCU
rnacentral:miRNA from 1 species